rnacentral:snoRNA from 1 species
UCUUUGCAGCCUUGUGAAGCUGCUCCUUGCAAGGACCAUUGCUUGGGGCACAACAAGGUUGCAGAAAGCAACUCAAAGAAUGAAAAGGCGUGACUUCUGGAGGCUCAGGAGUUUCACGUGCGAUGUUCCUUGGACAGAGUCCUGCUUUCCACGGCGGUGACGGUCUCGCUCUGUAGCCAUCACCUUUCUUGAAGCAGGUAGAGCAAAAGCUGACAGCCAGAUGUUGUUUGAAACAGGGGAAGUUCUUCCUGUCAAGCACUGUCAACUGUCACAAUA